rnacentral:misc_RNA from 1 species
GAUGAAGAACGUAGCGAAAUGCGAUAAGUAAUGUGAAUUGCAGAAUUCAGUGAAUCAUCGAAUCUUUGAACGCACAUUGCGCCCGCCAGUAUUCUGGCGGGCAUGCCUGUUCGAGCGUCAUUUCAACCAUCAAGCCCCAGGCUUGUGUUGGGGACCUGCGGCUGCCGCAGGCACUGAAAACCAGUGGCGGGCUCGCUGUCACACCGGGCGUAGUAGAUUUUAUCUCGCUCAGGGCGUGCUGCGGGUACAGGCCGUUAAAAAGCCUUUUUUACCCAAGGUUGACCUCGGAUCAGGUAGGAAGACCCGCUGAACUUAAGCAUAUCAAUAAGCGGAGGA